UACGGAGGGGGCUAGCGUUGUUCGGAAUUACUGGGCGUAAAGCGUGCGUAGACGGUCAUGUAAGUCGGGUGUGAAAGCCCCGGGCUCAACCUGGGAAUUGCAUUCGAGACUGCAUGGCUAGGGUGCGGAAGAGGGAAGCGGAAUUUCCGGUGUAGCGGUGAAAUGCGUAGAUAUCGGAAGGAACACCAGUGGCGAAAGCGGCUUCCUGGUCCAGCACCGACGUUCAGGCACGAAAGCGUGGGGAGCAAACAGG
rnacentral:rRNA from 1 species